AGAGUUUGAUCCUGGCUCAGGACGAACGCUGGCGGCGUGCUUAACACAUGCAAGUCGAACGAAUGAGCUUAGACAGAUUUCUUCGGAAUGACGACUAAGUGAUUUAGUGGCGAACGGGUGAGUAACACGUGAGAAACCUGCCUUUCACAGAGGGAUAGCCGUUGGAAACGACGAUUAAUACCUCAUGACAUCAACAGAUCGCAUGGUCAGUUGAUUAAAGAUUUUAUCGGUGAGAGAUGGUCUUGCGCCUGACUAGCUAGUUGGUGGAAUAAAAGCCUACCAAGGCAACGAUCAGUAACCGGCCUGAGAGGGUGAACGGUCACACUGGAACUGAGACACGGUCCAGACUCCUACGGGAGGCAGCAGUGGGGAAUUUUGCACAAUGGGGGGAACCCUGAUGCAGCGACGUCGCGUGAAUAAUGAAGGCCUUCGGGUUGUAAAGUUCUGUCCUUAGCGAAGAUAAUGACAGUAGCUAAGAAGAAAGCUCCGGCUAAAUACGUGCCAGCAGCCGCGGUAAUACGUAUGGAGCGAGCGUUGCCCGGAAUUAUUGGGCGUAAAGGGUACGUAGGCGGUUGUUCAAGUCUACAUUUAAAGGCAUGGGCUCAACCCAUGUUUGGUGUAGAAACUGGACAACUUGAGUAGAUGAGGGGUAAGUGGAAUUCCUAGUGUAGCGGUGAAAUGCUUAGAUAUUAGGAGGAAUACCGGUGGCGAAGGCGACUUACUGGAAUCUAACUGACGCUGAGGUACGAAAGCGUGGGGAGCAAACAGGAUUAGAUACCCUGGUAGUCCACGCUGUAAACGAUGCAUGCUAGGUGUCGGGAGUCAAAUCUCGGCGCCGCCGCUAACGCAUUAAGCCAUGCCGCCUGGGGAGUGCGUGCGCAAGCAUGAAACUCAAAGGAAUUGACGGGGACCCGCACAAGCAGCGGAGCACGUGGUUUAAUUUGAAGCAACGCGAAGAACCUUACCAGGGCUUGACAUAUAGAUGACCGGUGUAGAGAUACACCCCUCUCUUUGGAGACACCUAUACAGGUGGUGCAUGGUUGUCGUCAGCUCGUGUCGUGAGAUGUUGGGUUAAGUCCCGUAACGAGCGCAACCCCUAUCUUUAGUUACCAUCAGGUCAUGCUGGGGACUCUAGAGAGACUGCCGGUGAUAAACCGGAGGAAGGUGGGGAUGACGUCAAAUCAUCAUGCCCCUUAUGUCCUGGGGUACACACGUGCUACAAUGGUCUGAACAAAGAGCAGCUAACUUGCGAAAGUAUGCGAAUCACAUAAAACAGAUCUCAGUUCGGAUUGUAGGCUGCAACUCGCCUACACGAAGUCGGAGUUGCUAGUAAUCGUGAAUCAGAAUGUCACGGCGAAAAAAAGCCCGGCUCUUGUACACACCGCCCGUCA
rnacentral:rRNA from 1 species